UGUGUGUGUGUGUGUGCGUGCACGCACAUGUGCAUAGAUAGGGGGACAAGCAUAGACACUUAUCUUCGUGUUUUGAUCCAUUCAGUACCCAGCACAGUAGCAGACGUUAGAGGCGAUUUUUAUAGUGAUGAUUCUGGCAUUCGUUCUCCAUGGUCCAACCCAGUUCUCCAGUUUCAACUCCCCUGCACAAUUCUUCUGCCUCAGUAAAACCUGUUACUUCACAGUAUGUUUGGUAUCUUGUUUUGACAUUGCCUGUGCGUGGGGACAGAAGUGAGGCAUCUCCCAAGAAUCUAUAGAUAAGGGAACUAGGAUUGUGUGAUGAGAAUUAAACUUUAAGAUGUGUACAGAGCAGAGACGUGCAAAGUCACCUUCAGGAGACAGGCCGGUUCCCUGGGUGGCCAGCUUCGGCAGUUACCUGAUGGAAUGUAUUAACACACCCGCGGGAAGCAUGCGGGAAUCAGAAGUGACUCGGCUCAGCCGUAAGAUGUCAAGAAAAGAGAGUCGCCAGGGCAAUGGCCAUGCACAUGAGACAGCAUUUGGGCCAACAGGCUGGCAGUACUACAACCAGCCCUGGCGCGGUGAUGGAAGUGGGCAUGGCAGCCACUGCAUGUCAAGGAUUUCCAUCUCGCUGGCCAGACUGUCUUGGGGAGAGAGACACAUCAGUCCAUCUGGGGGGAUACCCUUGUGUAUUAAAUUUAUGUAACUCUUUUGUUUUCAUUAUUUAGAUAAUGCUUCAUGCAUGUACUGUGGAGUAAGAACUCAGCAAAUAUGAGCUAUUAUUAUUAUCUGAUUAUGAGUUGGCUUUCUACCCAAGAAAAGGAUGUACUAGUCUGACAAACAGAACUACUCUGUCUUGGGACAAUAUUGUUCUUGAUAAAAAUAACAAUAAACUGGCAUUCCAAGUUUAUUUAUGCCAAAUGUUACUAUCAGAUAGUCUCUGAAAUACGACUCUUGUUGGUGAGCCAGGAAGAUCAAGGGCUCCAGGCUGCGAGAUUGACAAUCAAAGCCUGGAUGGGGCGAGCUCCUGAAGGGGAUGGCUGCUGCGCUGAGCAGCUGCUUGGAGGCUGCCGGCGUGGAGCGGUGCCAGUCUGCGUCUGACCCCUGGCCAGCCCAGCUUCCUUCUCUGACCCAAAGCCCAGCCUUGCUCAGGGGUGAAGCCAACAGUGUGAACUCGCUCACCGGAGCUCCUGCUCACCUGCUCUCUGCACUCCAUGUGGCAUCGCAGGAGUGAGGAAGUGAACGGAGAGGUAGACAAAUGGGCUCCAGGCUCUGGCGUCAACUAGCUGCAUAAUUUGGGGUCCCUGCUGUAACCAGGAGGCCACCUGGGAGCAGAGGUGUGGCUUUGGAGCCAGGAAAGAUCAAAGCAACCUGGGCCCUUCAUACAGAGCACAGCACAGAGCCCCCGCGUGGCAGCUCUCCCUACUGAACACCUGUGCCGGUGGGCCCCGGGAAAUCUGCAAGCUGCCCACGUAGCUGAGAACAGCCAGGCAGCCCUUCCUGACCUCAGAUUACUGCUAAUGAUAAGAGCCGGAAGACCAGCUCCGCGCCUGGGAGGGAGGGAGCUCAAACCCCUGAGGUCAGCGAUGCGCUUCAUCUUUGGGGAUUUUCCGUAAUAGAUUUAUUUUUAGCAAGAAGAGAUUUAAAACCCGGCAACUUAGUACGACUUGUUUGCUUAAAGCAAGUUGCUUCUCAAGAGUGAGUUGGGGAUUUGACAAUUCUCCUCUCCAUCAUCACUUUUACACUUUUGCAGGAAUCACCAGGGGCUCUGAGCCCCGCGGGCAAGCUUCUAAGGACCCCUCUGAAAGAUGAGGCAUGUCCUGCUCCUAGGAGUCCAUCAACUGCUCAUUGCCCCCCUUUUUCCUUCCUGUUUUAUUGAGAUAUAAUUGACAUAUAACACUGUGUAAAUUUAAGAUGUACAGCAUAGUAACUUGGCAUAAAUAUACUGCAAAACGAUUAAUACAGUUGGUUUUAGUUAAUAUCCAUCCAUCACCUCAUAUAGUCACAAAAAAAAUUUUCCCUUGUGAUGAGAAUUUUUAGGAUCUAUUUUCGUCCUAACUUUCAAAUCCACCAUAGCGUAGUGUCAACUCACAGUCACCAUGCUGUACGUUAUAGCCCCAGUAUUUAUUUAUCUUAAAACUGGAAGUUUGUACCUUCUGACCACCUUCAUCCCAGUUCCCCUUCCCCACACCUCUGGCCACAGCCAGUCUGGUCUCUUUUUCUAUGAGUUUGGGUAUUUUGGAGUCCACAUGUGAGUGAGAUCACGUGGUAUUUGUCUUUCUCUGACUUACUUCAUUUAGCAGAACGCCCUCAAGGUCUGUCCACGUCACGGCUCCUUUAAUAAACUGAGGACGUCUCGGGCUUUGCUUCCCCAAGAGUGUUCUGUGGAUCAGCCGUGCCAGAAGUUGUGCGUCCUGGUGAAACUAUGUAGUCCCAGGGCCUGGGAAACCCUGCGCACUCUUCUGCCCUUGGUUCACUCCAGCCCAACCAGCCCCCUGUUCUUCCUCACAUGCCACGCAGCCCUGCCCCAGGGCCUUUGCACUUACUGCUCCUUCUGGCUGGUGUCUUCUCACUCAGAUAUCUGCUUGGUACCUUCAGCUUCAUCUCCAACUUCACCUCUUUACUCAAAAUCACCUUUUCAGUGAGGUCUUCACAAGACACGUUUAUAUCCACUUCUCUGCUUUACUAUGUUUUUCUUUGCACCCAUCACUCACUGCGGUGAAUCACAUCACUUUCUGCUCUGCAGUUAGGACU